GGGAGGGGUGGUGUGAGAGCGAGUCCCACACCUUGUCAUAGAACUCCUAUAAGGCCUUGAAACUAUAGAAUCUUCUUCCCUUUAGAAUAUGAGUCUAGCUAGUUCACCUAUGCAAGUAGAGGGACAGAAUACAACCACUAAAAUUCCCUCAUGCUGAAGCAAGUCUCAUGUCUUUGACUUGAGGAAGGCAGCCUGAGUUCUGAUGUGGCAUGCUUUUAGUUCAUAUUUAAACAAAUAGAGAGAGAAGGAGAGAGAGGAGGAUGGGGUCUGCUAGAAUGGAGGCUUGGGUAGUUCUUCUGAUGCUUGUAGGACUCUUCUUGCUCCAUUAUCAAACAAGAGUCGGCGCCACUAGCCUUCAGGAUCAGCGGCUGGCAAGAAGAGGAAGAUUUGUGGCAAAGAAAGAAAUGAUGCCUUGGUGGUGGAAUGCAGAUUAUGCUUCAGUUAGGCGGCGGAGACCAAUACAUAAUAGUUUUGAUCCAUGAUUAAUUACUAAUGCCUCCUUGUUCAGGAAAUCUAAGAUAUUUUUCCUCGAAACCUGAGACAACAUGCAGGAGAGGGAAGGGCUGUUUUGAGUUUGUAGUAGUAAUUUGGGAUCUAUAGAUCAAACGUUUUGCAAAGGGUCUGUUGUAAUUAAUGGCUUAUACAGUAUGGUCAUGUUUUCUCAGGUAAGGUCAUCAGGAGUAAUCUAAUCUAUAAGUUUUUUUU